rnacentral:lncRNA from 1 species
AUAGUGAUGUAAACGUAGGUGAUGAUGUAUCUGGGCAUGUAAAUCCUUUAAGGAUAGCCUUUUAUCCCGUAGUGUUGGUAUUUGUGACAUGCUGUAAUGUGUUUUUCUUUUAAUGAAAUUUUUGUUUUGCGUUCAUACUCGAACUGUUCUUUCUUUAUCAUGAAUGAAGUACUUAGAUUGCUUGCUCCGUAACUUUUCCCGAGGGAUCUGCUGUAUUGCUUUCUC